rfam:Neotoma lepida isolate 417 scaffold_868, whole genome shotgun sequence.
GGUGCUGUAGCUCAGUGGGUAGAGUGUUUGCCUAGUANGCAAGAAGCCUGGGUUCCAUCCCUUGCAUCUCAU